CUAUAAGCGAUGAUUGGGAGGAGUACAGAGUCAUUACUCUAAAAGAGAGGGAAUGCCGGUGGGAAUUUCCCGGGAUAAUGAUUCUGGAAGGUCGCCCAUGAAGCUGCUUCUUUGAAAUCAGUAGAAGAAAGCCGGUUACUGACCGUUAUCAUGCUAUAAGUGCAUAGGUGUUUAUUGUCUAUGAACAAAGGUGGUACCACGGAAACAAAUCCUUUUCGUCCUUUUU
rnacentral:ncRNA from 1 species